rnacentral:tRNA from 1 species
AGAAAUUUAGGCUAGCAAAACCAAGGACCUUCAAAGUCCUAAACACGAGUAAUCACCCUCCUAAUUUCUG